UGAGGAAUAUUGGUCAAUGGGCGGAAGCCUGAACCAGCCAUCCCGCGUGCAGGAAGAAUGCGCUAUGCGUUGUAAACUGCUUUUCCAGGGGGCGAACGUUCCGUACGUGUACGGGAGUGACGGUACCUUGGGAAUAAGCAUCGGCUAACUCCGUGCCAGCAGCCGCGGUAAUACGGAGGAUGCGAGCGUUAUCCGGAUUUAUUGGGUUUAAAGGGUGCGUAGGCGGAUUAAUAAGUCAGUGGUGAAAACCUGCAGCUUAACUGUGGAACUGCCGUUGAUACUGUUAGUCUUGAGUAUGGUCAAGGUAGGCGGAAUGUGUAAUGUAGCGGUGAAAUGCUUAGAUAUUACACAGAACACCGAUUGCGAAGGCAGCUUACUGGGCCAUAACUGACGCUGAUGCACGAAAGCGUGGGGAUCGAACAGG
rnacentral:rRNA from 2 species